ensembl:misc_RNA Metazoa_SRP Metazoan signal recognition particle RNA
GCUGGGUGUGGUGGCGCACACCUGUAAUCCCAGCUACUUGGGAGGCUGAGUCAGGAGAAUCACUUGAACCCGGGAGGUGGAGGCUGCAGUGAGCCGAGAUUGUGCCACUGCACUCCAGCCUGGGUGACAGAGUGAGACACUGUCUCAA